UGGGACGGUGGUGUACUAUGUGGUGCUUGAGGGGAGUAUAAAACCGAGGCAGAAUUGAAAGGGGGCAAUGAUUUCCCCUCUGGAAAUUUAUUUUAUGGGGUACUGGCGCCAGUCAUCUCUGGUCUGUUUUGGGGAUAUAUUAAGGAAAGAGUAUGGGUGAUCUUGGUGGCCAAAUAUCAGUCAUAUACAGGAUACUGAAAAGCCUCACCCAAUUUGGGAACCAAAUCCGGCGACCAGAGUGGGCAUUGCAGCUUGACAAAAAAGGGACUCGGUUGUCGAGAAGAACGAUUCAAUUCUGAAAGUUAUAACAAACGAGAAAUCAUACAUCUAUCCUUCGCGAUCCAAAAGCGAAAGUUAAAACGAGAACAGAAAACUGACAAACAAACAGACAAUAAUCCGCCCUUGGUCCACCCUGACAUGCGCCAAUACCAGAUCAAACUGGGUAUCAUAUCAAAGCCAGCCAAUUUUCCCAUUUGGACGAAAGCAAGAAAAAAGCUACAGGAAAAUCACCCGCCGCAAAAAAUGAAAGAAGAAAACCAACGACAGCAGAAACUCAAGGAUACAUAUACAUAUACAUAUAUAUAGAGAGCGAGAGAGAGACCCUCUUAGUAAUCAACCACGAAUCUUCUCCAGCUCCUGCUGGCAACUCAGACAAUAAUCCUCAUACCAAUACUGAAUAUCUUCAAUAUCCGUCGCUGCGAACCGCUGCUUCAAAUCCGAAACCGUCUCAUCGCUGCCGUCGCGGUCAUUUAAUCGCUCCCGAUCUUUCAGUAGAGUCUCGAUCGCGUGGCACUUCUGCGUUUCCUGUUGGAGCCAGCGUUCCCAUUCCGCCUGGACUACUUCUUUUUCUAUCCGGUUGACCACCCUUAAGGCAACAAGGAGGUUGUGUCGGUAGAUCCCUAGCCGCUCUCUCGUCCGUUGCAGCUGCAGCCUUGCGCGUUUUGCUCUGGAAUCCUUGGUGUUGGUUUCAGAGGGUGUGAUUAUUCGUGGCAUAUCUGAAAAUCCUAAAGCGUUGCUCUCGCGGAAAGUUGAGAAGCUAGACCAAUCCAAGGUUAUUGAAAGUCAGCUUGCUGCACAUCUGUAAACUGAUAAAUGACAAAAUAUAACGAACUGACCAAGAACCUGGAUUGCUUAUGUCAAUACCUGUAGUAUUAGCAAUCGCAUCAUCCAUGUCUUUGAUAUAUACCGCCUUGCUCAUAACACGAUUAGGUCCAACACCAAGCCGGGUCAUGAAGUUGCCGGCAUUACGCUCAUGCCACCAUUCAACGGUAUCAUGGUACGAAUGGAAAGCAUUAAUAAGCACGCUGAACGCGAGCAACAGGAGUAUGAUGCUGUGAGCUCUGCAGGUUUUCCACAGCCAUCGAAGCAGCCCCCAAAACCAAAUCAUCAAUGACGAUACUGCACUCUGUAACAAAGACCCGGAAGUUUCAAGCAGAAGUGGGAUGAUACCACUUUGCUUGAGGGGACGGCGAAGAUAGGGUUUUAAGUUUUGCGAAUCCUCAGUAAAUUCAGUCCCUCGAGUUUGGCGGCCAAUGUGGCCGAAUAGUGCUAUAGCCAUUUUCGUUUGGUUAUGGGAGCCAAGCCGUUUAACCUCUUCGGAAACAAGAUCCACAAGGUCAAGCGCAUCCUGUUC
rnacentral:sRNA from 1 species